rnacentral:piRNA from 1 species
UACCAGCCAAGGUAUCCUUUUCAAGGAUAGCA